rnacentral:lncRNA from 1 species
UUGGAGGGACGCUGAGCGUCCUGGAGAGUCAUCGCUGAAGCUUGACCUGCAAAAAGAGAUGCAUACAUUAUGUAGCAUAAUUGUAGAAUAUUGGAACAACUAAAAUUUAUUCAGUGAUGAAUAUAAUGUAAAUGUUGUGUGUCAUGCUCUUUUUUUGAUCAUAUUUUUUCCGAGUAGUUAGCCUUUUAUGUUUAGGCUCCCAAUCCCUAUUUAGC